rnacentral:rRNA from 1 species
CGACCGGCGCACGGGUGAGUAACGCGUAUGCAACCUGCCCGAUACCGGGGUAUAGCCCAUGGAAACGUGGAUUAACACCCCAUAGUACUUUUAUCCUGCAUGGGAUGUGAGUUAGAUGUUCAAGGUAUCGGAUGGGCAUGCGUCCUAUUAGUUAGUUGGCGGGGUAACAGCCCACCAAGACGAUGAUAGGUAGGGGUUCUGAGAGGAAGGUCCCCCACAUUGGAACUGAGACACGGUCCAA